GCUGAUAUAGCUCAGAUGGUAGAGCGCACCCUUGGUAAGGGUGAGGUCCCCAGUUCGAUUCUGGGUAUUAGCACCA
rnacentral:tRNA from 1 species